rnacentral:sRNA from 1 species
GCUUUCAACAUCCCCGUUCCGGGGCGUGGUUUCCGAUCCAAACGGAGCUUCGCGGCCGGAACUGAAGGC